rnacentral:rRNA from 1 species
UACGUAGGGUGCAAGCGUUAAUCGGAAUUACUGGGCGUAAAGCGUGCGCAGGCGGUUAUGUAAGACAGAUGUGAAAUGCCCGGGCUUAACCUGGGAACUGCAUUUGUGACUGCAUGGCUAGAGUGUGUCAGAGGGGGGUAGAAUUCCACGUGUAGCAGUGAAAUGCGUAGAUAUCGGGAGGAACACCAGUGGCGAAGGCGACUACCUGGCCUGUUUCUUGACGCUGAGGCGCGAAAGCUAGG